rnacentral:rRNA from 1 species
GGAGUUAGCCGGUGCUUCUUCUGUGAGUGAUGUCCUUCCUGCCGGUUAUUGACCCGCAGGCCUUCUUCCUCACUGAAAGUGCUUUACAACCCGAAGGCCUUCUUCACACACGCGGCAUGGCUGGAUCAGGGUUGCCCCCAUUGUCCAAUAUUCCCCACUGCUGCCUCCCGUAGGAGUCUGGGCCGUGUCUCAGUCCCAGUGUGGCUGAUCAUCCUCUCAGACCAGCUACGGAUCGUCGCCUUGGUGAGCCGUUACCUCACCAACCAGAUAAUCCGACAUAGGCUCAUCCGAUAGCGCGAGGCCCGAAGGUCCCCCGCUUUCCCCCGUAGGGCGUAUGCGGUAUUAGCCUGGGUUUCCCCAGGUUAUCCCCCACUACCGGGCAGAUUCCUAUGCAUUACUCACCCGUCCGCCGCUCGCCACCAGGGAGCAAGCUCCCCGUGCUGCCGCUCGACUUGCAUGUGUUAGGCCUGCCGCCAGCGUUCAAUCUGAGCCAUGAUCAAACUCUGA